rnacentral:lncRNA from 1 species
GCGGCGCCGGACCCGGCUGCGCGCGGACCGUUAGCUACUGCGGCCGGGACGCGGCCCCGCCCAGGCGAGCGGCGGGUGGCUCUUACCAGCGGGAACGCCAUGGGGCCGGUGUGGCCCUGCGGGGCUGACGGGCUGACCGGCCAGCCGGCGGGCGAGAGACGCGCACGCACGUGGGCACUAUUUUUGCAGCGGGCCGCGCGCAGCCCCGCACCCCGGCAGCUUAUGAAGCUCCUACGAGCCGCUCCUCGGAGCCGCCCCCCGGCCGGAUGCGGAGCACCUGUGUCGGCCCCGCCCGGGCCCUCGCCUCCGCCCCCUCGCGCCCCGCCCCUCCUAGCAGGCCGAGCCGAGGAGGGCUCCGCCGCCCACCCGGAACCCGGCGGGGACUGCCGCCGCUGCUAGCCACAGCUGCCCCCUGGGGGGCCAGAGACCUAAGCCUGAGCGCGCCAUCACCUAAGUGACCCUUGCCGAGUCACUGUCUGCCCUGGGCCUCAGUUUCCCUCUUAACGAAAGAGGGCACGAUUUACAAGCCCCUGCGAGCGGCGGCGAUCGCUUCGUCAGUAGAGCCUCGUGUCCGCGCUCCUUCUCUUCCAGUGAUCUCUCCAGGGCGAGAGCCUGCCCUGGCAUCCUUGGUCGGAACUGUAGCCCCUGGGCUCCAGGAGGCGCACUCACUUUAGACCCUCUGCUCCGUGCGCUGCAGAGGGGGCCGCGAGAGUCAGGAAGUUCCAGAAAGUUCCAAAGACAUCACUGGUCCUCUUUGGACCGGAGUUCUCCGGAGAAACCGCUUCCGGCGCUCCUGACACACUGAGAUAGAAAGUUUCACAGAAAUAGGGCAAGGGAUAGGGCGAGGGCUCCAGGGCAGGCGUCCUAGGGCACCUGGCGCAGGGGCGGACCGGAAACCCCAGGCAAACGCAGAGUCGGAGAUGGCAUUCCAGGCGGAAGAUCAAGCAAAGGCAGAGAGGGAGGACGGCACCGAGCGGCUCCCUCUGACCAGGACUGAGGAUGAUGCGACCUGAUACCGCCGGAGGGAAGCCUGGGCCCGCUGAGCAAGAUAAGAACCUGAAACCCAGAAUAGUGCCCAAGGGAGCGGGUGUCUGGAGGCCCUGUCAUAUUUCAAAACUGUCAACCAUAAGAAAAUGAAGGCAUCUUUCAAGAGACUUGGAACAGAAACUUCUGCUGCCUAAAAUCUCUCUCCCUAAACUUUCUGUUGCAGAUGAGACUGAAGCUCAAAGAAGUUAAGUAACUUGCCAAAAGACUCCCAGCUAAAAGUGUGAGAGCAAAGACUCAAACCAAGGCAGUCUUCUGGUUUCAGAGCCUGAAGUCUUAACCAGGUCCUGCCAGCUGCCUGAGGAAGUCCUGAAACAAGAACUCGGAAAUCAGAUCUUCUUGCAGAAGGCCCAUUCCUCCCACCACGGGGCCACCCACCCCGACUUCGUAAGUCCUGGAGAACUCCACACGAAGCCGACACUGGCCAUAAUCAUAACUAUUUCUUCCAUAAAUAGCAUCCUCUGCAUCUCGGGGGUCCUCAAAGCGCACCAAGGCGAAGGGCACAAGGCAGUGCCCAUUCUUAAGCUUGAUCUUGCGGAUCCGGCCGUACUUGUAGAAAAGGUCUUCCACGUCCUUCUCGCGCACGUUGGAAGGCUCACCACGCAGAUGCGCUCAUCCGCCCAGCCCAACAUCGGCACCUCCCAACGCCCCCUCCCCGCAAUCCCCCCGCAGCGUCCCCGCGGGCUCUGAGGCGCUCAGCCGCACUGCACUGUGGGAACGAGAAGCAAUUGUGGUACUUUUGAUACAGGAGUGUAGGAAAUGAAUGUAGCCAGAAACAGAGAGCCAGGAAACAAGAGGAAGGGUUUGGGGUGGGAAAGUAUGGACCUGGCUCAGGGAAAAGGACUAGUUGGAUGGAUAAGAAGGACCAGCGGAAAAGAGGUAGAUGCCAAAACAAGAGCAGGGUGCCCUUGCCCUGCCUCCAGUAUGUUUCCAAGUCCUGACCUCUCAGACCAAACUGAUUCCAGGGACUGGAAGGGUCCCAGAGACUCCAUAGAUGGCCUCACAACAAAAGCCAGACCUGUCACUGAACAUUGAACAGCCAUUCAAGGAAGUCAUUAAACUCUAGUGGGAUGAAUAAAGAUUUGAGUAAGUGAAAAAAAAAAAAAAAAAAAAAAAAAAAAAAA